ACGUGGGUAAUCUACCUUCGGGUGGGGAAUAACGUCUCGAAAGAGACGCUAAUACCGCAUAAUGCAGCGGCACCUAAUGGUGAAUAGUUGUUAAAGCGGGGGAUCGCAAGACCUCGCGCCUGAAGAGGAGCCUGCGGCAGAUUAGCUUGUUGGUGAGGUAAUGGCUCACCAAGGCUGCGAUCUGUAGCUGGUCUGAGAGGACGGCCAGCCACACUGGCACUGACACACGGGCCAGACUCCUACGGGAGGCAGCAGUGGGGAAUUUUGGGCAAUGGACGAAAGUCUGACCCAGCAACGCCG
rnacentral:rRNA from 1 species